CGCGGCGGCGGCGGCGGCGGCGGCGCGGGGCAGGAGCUGCGCGGCCGCCCCCUCCCCUGCUCGCCUCUCCGGAGCCUGUGCUGGGAAGGCAGUGACAGCGGCGAGAGCGGCGAGAGGCGGCGGAAGACAUUAGAGACCGCGGUGCCGAAAAAUGAGGGAAAAAAUUAAUAUAAAUUCGCCCCCCGCCUCAAACCGGCCGAAUUUCGCACAGAAAUUUCCCCCGUGGACCCGGCUACCCGGAGGGUGUCCCCCGGACCCGGCGGCUCCGUCUUUGGGGGGAUCCGGAGGGACUUUGGGGCACUCGACCCCCCUUUCCCUGCGUUUUUUGGACAAAAGUUUUUUUUUUUUCAUAAUAAAGAAACGAAUUUGCCUGCUCUCCCCCUCCGAGUGGCCCGGAGGCUUUUCCCUUCCCCAUCGGUGUGUGUUUAGAGAAAAGUGUGAACCCAAUUUUCCUGGUGGCUCCCUCCUCUAUUUAAACUGGAUUCUUCAAAGGAGUAUGGGGUUGAGGUAA
ensembl:lncRNA